rnacentral:rRNA from 1 species
AGUUGGGGGCAUCAGUAUUCUGAAGCGAGAGGUGAAAUUCUUGGACCUUCGGAAGACUAACAACUGCGAAAGCAUCUGCCUAGGAUGUUCUCUUUAAUCAAGAACGAAAGUUGGGGGAUCGAAGACGAUCAGAUACCGUCGUAGUCUCAACUAUAAACUAUGCCAGCUAGGGAUUGGUGGACGUUUAUUUACGACUCCAUCAGCACCUUAUGAGAAAUCAAAGCAUUUGGGUUCCGGGGGGAGUAUGGUCGCAAGGCUGAAACUUAAAGGAAUUGACGGGAGGGCACCACCAGGAGUGGAGCCUGUGGCUUAAUUUGACUCA